rnacentral:rRNA from 1 species
UACAGAGGUCCCAAGCGUUGUUCGGAUUCACUGGGCGUAAAGGGUGCGUAGGUGGCCAGGUAAGUUCGGUGUGAAAGCUUGGAGCUUAACUCCGAAAUGGCAUUGAAUACUAUCUGGCUAGAGGGUCGGAGGGGAGACUGGAAUUCUCGGUGUAGCAGUGAAAUGCGUAGAUAUCGAGAGGAACACCAGUGGCGAAGGCGAGUCUCUGGACGACUCCUGACACUGAGGCACGAAAGCCAGGGGAGCGAACGGG